rnacentral:rRNA from 1 species
CCUACGGGAGGCAGCAGUGAGGAAUAUUGGUCAAUGGACGCAAGUCUGAACCAGCCAUGCCGCGUGCAGGAAGACGGCUCUCUGAGUUGUAAACUGCUUUUGUACGAGGGUAAACGCAGAUACGCGUAUCUGUCUGAAAGUAUCGUACGAAUAAGGAUCGGCUAACUCCGUGCCAGCAGCCGCGGUAAUACGGAGGAUUCAAGCGUUACCCGGAUUUAUUGGGUUUAAAGGGUGCGUAGGCGGUCUGAUAAGUUAGAGGUGAAAUCCCGAGGCUCAACUUCGGAAUUGCCUCUGAUACUGGUAGGCUAGAGAGUAGUUGCGGGAGGUGGAAUGUAUGGUGUAGCGGUGAAAUGCUUAGAGAUC